rnacentral:rRNA from 1 species
UACGGAGGGUGCAAGCGUUAUCCGGAUUCACUGGGUUAAAGGGUGCGUAGGAGGGCAGGUAAGUCAGUGGUGAAAUCUCCGAGCUUAACUCGGAAACUGCCGUUGAUACUAUCUGUCUUGAAUACCGUGGAGGUGAGCGGAAUAUGUCAUGUAGCGGUGAAAUGCUUAGAUAUGACAUAGAACACCAAUUGCGAAGGCAGCUCACUACACGAGCAUUGACUCUGAGGCACGAAAGCGUGGGGAUCAAACAGG